AAUUCUUAAAAGUCAUUAAUCUUACAAUUUUUUUUUGAAUGUUUAUUAACUUUGAAAUACGAGAUUUGUACGUAUUACCCCAAAUGAGGUUACCAUAGAUUAGAUAUGGAUAGACCAAUGCGUAGUAAAUGAGUUUUAGAGAAUUUAAGUUUGUAAAAUGCCGAAUUCUGGAAAUAAUAGCUGCACAUCUGAUCAUUUUCUUUGCUAUUAAAUCUAGAUGAUAACACCAUGUUAAAAAUUCAUGAAUAACAAUUCCCAAAAAUGUGAUACUCUUGGCUUGUUUUAUGGCCUCAUUAUUUAAAGAAAUUUUAACAUUGUGUUUAGAUUUU